rnacentral:rRNA from 1 species
UACGUAGGGGGCAAGCGUUGUCCGGAUUUAUUGGGCGUAAAGAGCGUGUAGGCGGCCGUACAGGUCAGCUGUGAAAACUCGAGGCUCAACCUCGAGACGUCGGUUGAAACCGUACGGCUAGAGUCCGGAAGAGGAGAGUGGAAUUCCCGGUGUAGCGGUGAAAUGCGCAGAUAUCGGGAAGAACACCCGUGGCGAAGGCGGCUCUCUGGGACGGUACUGACGCUGAGACGCGAAAAGCGUGGGGGAGCGAACAGGA